UAGGGAAUCUUCGGCAAUGGGGGCAACCCUGACCGAGCAACGCCGCGUGAGUGAAGAAGGUUUUCGGAUCGUAAAGCUCUGUUGUAAGUCAAGAACGAGUGUGAGAGUGGAAAGUUCACACUGUGACGGUAGCUUACCAGAAAGGGACGGCUAACUACGUGCCAGCAGCCGCGGUAAUACGUAGGUCCCGAGCGUUGUCCGGAUUUAUUGGGCGUAAAGCGAGCGUAGGCGGUUUGAUAAGUCUGAAGUUAAAGGCUGUGGCUCAACCAUAGUUCGCUUUGGAAACUGUCAAACUUGAGUGCAGAAGGGGAGAGUGGAAUUCCAUGUGUAGCGGUGAAAUGCGUAGAUAUAUGGAGGAACACCGGUGGCGAAAGCGGCUCUCUGGUCUGUAACUGACGCUGAGGCUCGAAAGCGUGGGGAGCGAACAGGAUUAGAUACCCUGGUAGUCCACGCCGUAACGAUGAGUGCUAGGUGUUGGAUCCUUUCCGGGAUUCAGUGCCGCAGCUAACGCAUUAAGCACUCCGCCUGGGGAGUACGACCGCAAGGUU
rnacentral:rRNA from 1 species